AUUGAACGCUGGCGGCAGGCCUAACACAUGCAAGUCGAGCGGAUGAAGGGAGCUUGCUCCUGGAUUCAGCGGCGGACGGGUGAGUAAUGCCUAGGAAUUUGCCUGGAAGUGGGGGAUAACGUCCGGAAACGGGCGCUAAUAACGCAUACGUACUGAGGGCGAAAGUGGGGGAUCUUCGGACCUCACGCUAUCAGAUGAGCCUAGGUCGGUUUAGCUAGGUGGUGGGGUAACGGCCUACCAAGGUGCUGAUCCGAAACUGGUCUGAGAGGAUGAUCAGUCACACUGCAACUGAGACGCUGUCCAGACUUGUACGUGAGGCAGCAGUAGGAAAUAUACGACAAUGAGCGGAAGCCUGAUCCAGCCAAUCCGCGUGUGUGAAGAAGGUCUUCGCAUUGUAAAUCACUAUAACUUGGGAGGAAGAACAGUAAGUUACUACCGUGCUGUUUAGACGUUACCAACAGAAGAAGCACCGGCUAACUGCGU
rnacentral:rRNA from 1 species